GGCCUCCCAAUGCUUACCAUAGGCUGUGUUCUCUACACUGCCUGUAUAGAAACAGGAGGUACAGUAAAUGCACCCCAUGUACACCUCAACCCAGGCCCUCUGACUGGUCUGUAUUGUGAAUGGCGGGACACAA